rnacentral:rRNA from 1 species
UGCGUAGGUGGUCGUAUUAGUCGUCCGUUAAAAACCGUGGCUCAACCACGGACGUGCGGGCGAAACGGUACGACUCGAGGGCGUGAGAGGUGCAUAGAACUCUGGGUGUAGGGGUGAAAUCCGUUGAUAUCCAGGGGAAUACCGAAAGCGAAGGCAGUGCACUGGCGCGUUCCUGACACUCAAGCACGAAAGCGUGGGUAGCGAACG